rnacentral:rRNA from 1 species
GAUGAACGCUAGCGGCAGGCCUAAUACAUGCAAGUCGAACGCUCAGUAGCAAUACUGGGAGUGGCGCACGGGUGCGUAACGCGUACACAAUCUACCUCUAAGCGGGGGACACCUCCUGGAAACGGGGAUUAAUACCGCAUAAUAUGCCGAAGUCGCAUGACUUUGGUAUUAAAGCAGCAAUGCACUUAGAGAUGAGUGUGCGUCCCAUUAGGUAGUUGGUGAGGUAACGGCUCACCAAGCCUAUGAUGGGUAGCCGGUCUGAGAGGAUGGUCGGCCACACGGGCACUGAGACACGGGCCCGACUCCUACGGGAGGCAGCAGUAAGGAUAUUGGUCAAUGGUGGAAACACUGAACCAGCCAUGCCGCGUGGAGGAAUAAGGUCCUACGGA